AAUAUUGGUCAAUGGAGGCAACUCUGAUCCAGCCAUGCCGCGUGCAGGAUGACGGCCCUCGGGAUGUUAAGUACCUUUGGUACAGGAGGAAAGAGAGCUACGAGUAGCUGAUUGUCGGUACUGUAUGAGUAGGGUACGCCCAACCUAGUUCCGUCAGCCGCGGUAAUACGGAGGAUACAAGCGUUAUCCGGAAUAAUUGGGUUUAAAGGGUCCGUAGGCGGCCUUAUAAGUCAGCGGUGAAAGUUUAUGGCUUAACCAAAAAAUUGCCGUUGAAACUGCAGGGCUUGAGUUUUUGUGAAGGAACUAGAAUUUGAAGUGUAGCAGUGAAAUGCGUAGAUAUGAGAUGGAAUACCAAUGGCGAAGGCAGGUUACUAAGAAACUAUUGACGCUGAUGGACGAAAGCGUGGGUAGCGAACA
rnacentral:rRNA from 1 species